rnacentral:rRNA from 1 species
GAUGAACGCUGGCGGCGUGCCUAAUACAUGCAAGUCGAGCGAACAGACGAGGAGCUUGCUCCUCUGACGUUAGCGGCGGACGGGUGAGUAACACGUGGAUAACCUACCUAUAAGACUGGGAUAACUUCGGGAAACCGGAGCUAAUACCGGAUAAUAUAUUGAACCGCAUGGUUCAAUAGUGAAAGACGGUUUUGCUGUCACUUAUAGAUGGAUCCGCGCCGCAUUAGCUAGUUGGUAAGGUAACGGCUUACCAAGGCAACGAUGCGUAGCCGACCUGAGAGGGUGAUCGGCCACACUGGAACUGAGACACGGUCCAGACGCCUACGGGAGGCAGCAGUAGGGAAUCUUCCGCAAUGGGCGAAAGCAUGACGGAGCAAGGCCGCGUGAGUGAUGAAGGUCUUCGGAUCGUAAAACUCUGUUAUUAGGGAAGAACAAAUGUGUAAGUAACUAUGCACGUCUUGACGGUACCUAAUCAGAAAGCCACGGCUAACUACGUG